rnacentral:pre_miRNA from 1 species
CGAGGUUGAUCCUCUUUCCUUAACUCACGCCGCUGUGCCUUUUUAUUUACCUCACAAUUGUGUGAGUUGAGUACAGAGUGUCGGUCCC